CAGUCGCCGCGGGAAUACGUAGGGUGCGAGCGUUAAUCGGAAUUACUGGGCGUAAAGCGUGCGCAGGCGGUUCGUUAAGACAGAUGUGAAAUCCCCGGGCUUAACCUGGGAACUGCAUUUGUGACUGGCGAGCUAGAGUAUGGCAGAGGGGGGUAGAAUUCCACGUGUAGCAGUGAAAUGCGUAGAGAUGUGGAGGAAUACCGAUGGCGAAGGCAGCCCCCUGGGCCAAUACUGACGCUCAUGCACGAAAGCGUGGGGAGUAAACAGGAUUAGAUACCCCUGUAGUCCCUGUCUCUUAUAC
rnacentral:rRNA from 1 species